UGAUUUUUCACCCACUCCCCCACCCCCCCCUCCACCCCCCGCGUUUCAGUUGGGAAAGGAUGGGGGGGUUGCACAAAGGAGUGAAAGGAGCCUGGGUCUGUGGAUUGAGAAUUAAUGAAAUUAACGUAAUCCUUUCCAUUAGUGCGCUUUUUUGAAAGGCCCCAGAUUUAGGUUUGAUCUCUGCUGCGCCGGCUAAUUGCCCGGGUUAAUCUCAUUAAUGCCAUUGUGCAGAAGCGGUUAGCAGGUCUUCGCCUUGUCUAUUAUGCACUACUUUACUCGUGUUAGUUCGCAUUAGUGGGUGCAAUUUCCUCCGUCUGAAGAUCAGAUUCAUUAUUUAUACUUCGAAUUGAUCGAGAAACACGUUAAAAAAAAAAAAAAUUCGGUUUAACCACGCAACUUUUCCCCCUCGAAGUGUCUCUGUACCACGAGGCGAACUUUACUCAGGGAACCGGCGGGGCACUGAGGAGUGCGCUGCUGUCAUUUGCAUUCUGUGCGCUGUGCAAUAUCUUCUGCUGAGUAUCGCUUUCUGUUUUUUAACGAGCCAGAAUGUGGGAAUGUCAAUGACCGCUGCCAUCUCACAUCGCCGAGCUGAGCUGCGGCGAUACGGAGAAACUUCGCCUAUUUCAUGUUCCGAGAAUUUGAAAUGGAGCAGUUUAAAAGUCCGUAAAAUUCUCAGCUGAGACACUCGGCUCUCCUGGUAGCUGCUCUUGUGAUUUGCAGAAUACUUCGUCUGUCACGACUGUCACUGGGAAUCCACAGGAGGUGAACUCAAUCAGAUUAGACUAUUUACCCCAUCAGCCCUCCAUGACAGAAGGUAGGAAAUUGUAGGCAAGGAAUGAAAACAAGCUAUUAAUAUCCGUUUACGAGGAACACAUUAUUUUUCCUCAACAAAGACCAUCCUCGUUAGCGCUCACUCGCACUUUGUCCUUCCUUUCCUCGAAAUUCCAGAUUUUGUUACUGCGUCUGAUAUUGACCCAAACCGAAGACCUAUGCCUAUCAAAAGACGCGUAGGAACGUUAAGAAAAAAGGACCCCAGGACUCUUUUCUCACUUUGAUACAUAGCGAUGUGACUAACAGUUACCAUCGUUUCUUUUCCUUCAUUUAUUUACCUAUCAAUUUCCUUGCACCUUUGGUAUUUAGAGCUGACCUUCGUGCGAAUUUUACAAAUUUGAUGUAAAAGGAAUUUGAUGGGUAGUCAGUUUUUUCUUUUUCUCCUUUUAUUUUUUCUUCUUUUCCUUUUCUUCUUCUUACUUUGUAUACGUUCUGGGGUGGUUUUUGAUUUGCUGUUCUGGUUGGAUUUUUUUGAUGUGUGUUUGUGUGCUUUGAUAUUGGGUUUUGGGGGGGUCAGUCGUUCCCUGGCUCCGGCCCUGCCCCGCGUGUUACUUAAUUCCCCCCUCGCGAUGCUCACUCACGUCCCAGCGGCUCCGCAGCCACGCGCGACCGCACCUCCCUGCUGCCUCCUCAGCUCUCAGCGGUGCAGGGGCUCCGGGUGGCCCCGAGCCCAGGGAUUCGCCGGGCCGGGCCAUGAGGGCACAGCCUCGGGCCUCCGCAGGUGCUCUGAGGGCCUCCGCGGGACGGAGGGAGGGAGGAAUGGAGGGCAGCGCGGAUAUGUCGCCGAGACUGCAACGCUCACCUUCGUUGCCAAUUUAGAAAUGAUUUUUUAUUAUGAUAAUUGUUCUAUUUUCUCCAAGUCCUUGUCACUCCCGUCGGGGAACUUCUUGUUUGGUUUUGUUUUAAUCUCCGAAGCCUUGCAGCUCGAACUCGGUGUCGAUAUCCACUUCGCAAAGGCUGCUCCGCAGUUUCUCAUCUCGCACCCACUCCUCGCUAACUUUGCAGACGUAAAAUUGUAUUAACCGAACAGUCAGCGCUCACACAAUGUCGGGAUGAAAUUGUAAUAACAAAUGAAACGCAAGCAAAUUGUGCUGCAUAGUGUUGCUAAGCAAUUGUUUGUUACUGAGGGAGAGUCACAGCAUGGGCUGAAAGAAAGACCUAAAGAGGAGUACGGCACCGGGCGGAACAAGCUGUUAGGUGGGAAAUACAGUAAACACUGCACUGAUUUUCAAUAUUAUUACCCAAACACGAUUUCAUACAAAGCAAUCACCGUACUCAAGUCUAUGGAAAUGCGCUCGUUGAGAAAUCGGCCGGUAGUUUUAUUUCGAGGUAUUAAGGAAUAAUUCCGGGGAUGCAAAACGCGCCGCCUGCGGGGCGCGGGGGUUCCGCGGCAGAGCAGCACCGCGCAGCUUCCGCGGUCACCCCGCGGGGCCGCAACGUCGCGUUCGGGGCCUCCCGGCGGGGGCUACGGAGGGGCUUCAGCCGCUAUUCGCCCACCGGACUCCGGCUGCGGGGGAAGCUGAGGCGGAUCAAAGGGUCUGCUCCAGCGCCGAGAGCCCCUCGGAGCUUUGCAGCACAUCCCUCCCGUGCGAAUGCCAUCACUCUCCAGCCUUUGCAUCAUUACUUCGGGGGAAAAGGGGGAAAACAACAACAACAACAACAACAAAAA